ACAGAGACAGCUGUUUGUCCCCCAGUAUCCUUCAGACAAAGCCAUAUAUGAUUGAAGGUUAUCAGUACUGUGCUUUUGGAGGAUUCAGAAGAAGUUAUAUCUGAUUGGGAGAUUGAAAAGGAUUGGCCUGAAGGAGAGGUGGUUUUUGAACUGCAUCUUAAAGGAUGAGGAAACUGAGGCUGAGAGGGUAGAGAACUUUGCCUGAGGUCACUCAGCAGGGACCCACCCAUCACAGUAAAUGCCAGCACUGCUGAUGCCAAAACAAUGUUAUUUGUAGGCCCUCGGAAUUUGUGACCUGAAGGAAGAAGAGCAGGGCCGUGGGAAGUAUGUAACCAGUGUCAUGCCCCUGGUCCCAAGGAAGCAGUGGCUUGGUAAAGAGGGGACCCCCGUCAAUAACUCCCUGUAAUUACUGGGCACCCACUCUGAGCUCCUCAGUGGAAUCCUAAGGUUAAUAAGACUGUCUCUAGCCACUGGGGCUCCCAGCCUGGAGUGAGGUAAGAGGAGUGGAGCCGGCUGGGGAGGGAGACGAACACAUACACAGAAGAUUCAGACACACUUGCAAUGUAUUGCUGGGGAUUCUCCAGCAUUGGCAUGAUGGAGAGGGUGGAGAAUCAUUUGACCGCCUCCGCCUAGGAUUGCAGAGUUCAGCUGGCCAUCAUCCACCAGCCGGGGGACUGUGCACAUCAGUUAACCUCUCCUCUCAGGCCUUGAAAAGCACCAGGCUUAGUACACGUUUGUUAAAUGAAUGCACUGCAGUUUUUUUGCUUGUUAAAGGCAGGUAAUAAUAAUGAUAUUGCUGACUAAGGGCUCCCAUCCACUCCCAGUGAGCCCGGUGCCCCCCCGGGCCUCCUCAGUGAGCUGAGGAGGCUCAGCAGUGCCUGCACGUCCCCUCGCCACAAUGUCAUGUGCCACCUCUUCAAAGGAGGGAUGUACCAGCUAGUGGACGUGACCUUGACUGCAAAGGGCGGCACGCAGCUGAUGUAAUGGUCGCUUAAGUGUUCACAAAUGCCUGAACACCCUGUCCUACCUGGUCCUACCUGGAUGCUGGCCUCAGUAAGCUCCUGGGCUCAUUGAAGAUGAACCUAGCAGUAGUAUUUACACCACUUGUUGUGUGCCCACUGUGGGCCCGGCGCCAUGCCGAGUGCUCUAUGGAUGUGAGAGAAACGGAGGCCCAGAAAGCAGAAAUGAUGUGUUAAGAUCACUCAUCAAGCUGAUGGUACAGAGAUGAGAACACUGAAGCAGUUUUUUCUAAAGAUAGCUGCCUGGCACAGUGGCUCACAUCUGUAGUCCCAGCAUUUGGGGAGGCCAAGGCAGGUGGAUCACUUGAGGCCAGGAAUUCAAGACCAGCAUGGCCAACAUGUGCUGGGAGAGAAAAGCAUACGACAUAGACAGGGAGGUCAAGCUCCACCACGCAGAUGAGGUGCAGGCCACCAGUCUUCCUCUGCCACAUCUCUUUCUGAAAAGGACUUCACAUUCACCCUUGCAAUCCAUGUGGGGACACUGUUGGAUAGGAGGCGUGGUCCCAGCGUGGUCUCCCUGUCUGGGCCUCUGCCUAUGCCAAAUGUUUGCCUUACGCUGCACACUCAAGAGGUUCCAUGUAUACAGAUGGGAAUUCCAGAGCUACAGAAAAGGCAGCAAGCACCAUGAUUUAAGCUAACCAGUGUGGAUUCACACCUUCCUCUCUCUCUAUCAGUGGCAGAACUACCAGCUAGAGUAAGAAGUGGUUGAUCCAGGACCUAAACAUUCUGGAAACUCUUGCCCACUUCUGGGAGAAAUGACCCAAUCCAUAGUACUAAGCACACCUUAACUUUCGUAGGACGCAGGCAAGUUGUCAUACCGUGUGCCUAAAUAUAGAAAAAUGAUCCACUGGACUAAUAAAGUGUUAAAUAAAAUAUGUCCUGACUGUCUACUUUGACAACAUACUUUCAUAAUGACAAAACUUAAAAAUGUAUAAAGCUAUGGUUUUUAUAUAGUUGAAAAUUGACAAAACAGAAGACUAAAUUUACUUAUUAUUGCACAUGAUGGGCGGGCUAUGUUUGGUUGAGU
rnacentral:lncRNA from 1 species